GCGGGUGUAGCUCAGGGGUAGAGCAUCUGCUUCCCAAGCAGAGGGUCGUGGGUUCGAAUCCCAUCGCCCGCUCCA
rnacentral:tRNA from 1 species